rnacentral:rRNA from 1 species
AACGGCGAGUGAAGCGGCAACAGCUCAAAUUUGAAAUCCGGCCCCAGGCCCGAGUUGUAAUUUGCAGAGGAUGCUUCGGGCGCGGCGCCUUCCAAGUCCCCUGGAACGGGGCGCCACAGAGGGUGAGAGCCCCGUCAGGUCGGCCGCCAAGCCUAUGUGAAGCUCCUUCGACGAGUCGAGUAGUUUGGGAAUGCUGCUCUAAAUGGGAGGUAGACCCCUUCUAAAGCUAAAUACCGGCCAGAGACCGAUAGCGCACAAGUAGAGUGAUCGAAAGAUGAAAAGCACUUUGAAAAGAGGGUUAAACAGUACGUGAAAUUGUUGAAAGGGAAGCGCUUGUGACCAGACGUGCGCCGGGCGCUCAGCGGGCGUUCUCGCCCGUGCAUUCGCCCCGGCGCAGGCCAGCGUCGGUUCGGGAGGGGGGACAAAGGCACCAGGAACGUGGCUCCCUCGGGAGUGUUAUAGCCUGGCGCGCCAUGCCCCCGCCCGGACCGAGGUUCGCGCUCCGCAAGGACGCUGGCGUAAUGGUCCCCAGCGGCCCGUCUUGAAACACGGACCAAGGAGUCGAGGUUUUGCGCGAGUGUUUGGGUGUCAAACCCGCACGCGUAAUGAAAGUGAACGCAGGUGGGAGCUUCGGCGCACCACCGACCGAUCCUGAUGUUCUCGGAUGGAUUUGAGUAGGAGCGUAGGGCCUCGGACCCGAAAGAUGGUGAACUAUACUUGGAUAGGGUGAAGCCAGAGGAAACUCUGGUGGAGGCUCGCAGCGGUUCUGACGUGCAAAUCGAUCGUCAAAUCUGAGUAUGGGGGCGAAAGACUAAUCGAACCAUCUAGUAGCUGGUUACCGCCGAAGUUUCCCUCAGGAUAGCAGUGUUGAUCUCAGUUUUAUGAGGUAAAGCGAAUGAUUAGGGACUCGGGGGCGCUUUUCAGCCUUCAUCCAUUCUCAAACUUUAAAUAUGUAAGAAGCCCUUGUUGCUUAGUUGAACGUGGGCCUUCGAAUGCAGCAACACUAGUGGGCCAUUUUUGGUAAGCAGAACUGGCGAUGUGGGAUGAACCAUACGGGGGGUUAAGGUGCCGGAGUGGACGCUCAUCAGACACCACAAAAGGCGUUAGCACAUCUUGACAGCAGGACGGUGGCCAUGGAAGUCGGAAUCCGCUAAGGACUGUGUAACAACUCACCUGCCGAAUGUGCUAGCCCUGAAAAUGGAUGGCGCUCAAGCGUCCCACCCAUACCCCCCCCUCAGGGU